GGGGUUGUGGCUCAGUGGUAGAGUGCUUGCCUAGCAUGCACGAGGCAUUGGGUUCAAUCCUCAGCACCA
rnacentral:tRNA from 1 species